CUGUAUGGUGGUGGGGUCUCCAUAUGUCUUUGGGGGCGUUCCCAUGUGUUCCCAUUGACUCCCAGUGUCUUUGGGGUUGGGGGGGGGUCCAUUGUCUUUGGGGGGGGGGUUCCAUUCGGUUCCAUGACCCCAUUGUCUUUUGGAGGGGGGUCCAUUGUCUUUAUGGGGGGGGUUCUCCUUUAUUUUUAUUUGGGGGGGGGUCUCCAUUCUUUCUUUAUGGGGGGGGGGUCCCCCUUAUGUUCUUUAUGGGGGGGUCUCCAUUCUCUUUUAAUGGGGGGUCCCCUUAUUCAUUUAUGGGGGGGUCCCCCAUUAUUCUUAUUGGGGGGGUCUCCAUUCUUCUUUAUGGGGGGGGGUCUCCAUUCUUCUUUAUGGGGGGGGGUCUCCAUUCUUCUUUAUGGGGGGGGUCCCCAUUCUUCUUAGGUGGGGGGGUCCCCCAUUAUGUUCUUAUGGGGGGGUCCUCCAUCUUCCAAUAUGGGGGGGCGUCUCAUUCUUAAUUUAUGGGGGGGGUCCCCAUUAUUCUUAUGGGGGGGGGUCUCCAUUGUUCUUUUAUGGGGGGGAGAUCUCCAUUCUUCGCUUUAUGGGGGGGGUUCCCCCAUUUAGGUCGUUAUUGGGGGGGGGUCCCCCUUAUUUUCUUUUUGUCCGGGGGGCGUCCCCCUUUUAUUUAUGGGAGCGGGCCCCCAUAUUCGUAUUGGGGGGGGUCUCCUCUUCUUAUGGGGGGGUCAUCCAUUACCUUCUUUAUGGGGGGGUCUCCAUUUCGUUCUUUAUGGGGGGGUCCCCCUAUUCUUCUUUAUGGGGGGGGGUCUCCAUUAUUCUUUAUGGUUGGGGUCCCCUAUUCUUCGUGUAUAUGGGGGGGUCUGCCAUGUCUUCUUUAUUGGGCGGCUCCCCAUUUUCUUAUUGGGGGGGUUCUCCUUUAUUCUUUCAUGGGGGGUCGUCCAUUAUUCUGUUAUGGGGGGGGUCUCCAUUCUUCGUUAUUGGGGCGGGGGUUCUCCAUUCUUCUUUACUCGGGGGGCUCCAUUAUUUUCUUUGAUGGGGGGGGGUCCCCAGUUUCUCUUUAUUGGGGGGCUUCCUUUAUUCUUUAUGGGGGGGGUCUCCAUUAUCCUUUAUGGGGGGUGUCCCCAUAUUCUUCUUAUUGGGGGGGGGUCCCCCUUUAUUCUUUAUGGGGGGGGUCUCCAUUGUUCUUUAUGGGGGGUCUCCAUUAUUCUUUUAUGGGGGGGGGUCUCCAUUAUUCUUUAUGGGGGGGUCUCACAUUCUUAUCUUUAUGGGGGGCGGUCCCCAUUAUCUUCUAUGGGGGGGGUCCCCUUUUCUUUAUGGGGGGGUCUCCAUUAUUCGUUUAGUAUGGGGGGGUCCCCAUUCUUCUUUAUGGGGGGGGUCCCCAUUCUUCUUUAUGGGGGGUCCCCCUUAUGCUUUAUGGGGGGGGUCCCCCUUUAUUCUUCUUAUUGGGGGAUCUACCAUUAAUUCUUAUGAGGGGCGGGUCUCCAUUGUUCUUUGAUGGGGGGGGUCUCCCAUAUAUUCCUUAUGGGGGGGGGUCUCCAUUAUUCCUUAUGGGGGGGGUCUCCAUUAUUCCUUUAUGGGGGGGGGUCUCCAUUGUUUUUUAAUGGCGGGGGGGUCUCAGACGUAGGCGUUGCGUCCGUACUUGUCCCCAGGCUGUGGAUGAAUGAGGAUCCUAUGGGGCGGGGGGGGGGCUUCCAAAUGGGGGGGGGCUAAUUAAGUAGGGGGGGGGGUAAGGAAUGGGGGGGGGGUUAAUUAAUAGAGGGGGGGUAAUUAAUAGAGGGGGGGGUAAUUAAAUUAGGGUGGGGGGGUUUAGAAAGGGGGGGAGAGUUUUUAGAGUGGGGGGGACCCCCAAACCUCCGACCCCCCCC
ensembl:lncRNA